UUGCCUCAGUAACGGCGAGUGAAGCGGCAUAAGCUCAAAUUUGAAAUCUGGCUCUUUCAGGGUCCGAGUUGUAAUUUGUAGAAGAUGUUUCGGGUGUGGCACCGGUCUAAGUUCCUUGGAACAGGACGUCAUAGAGGGUGAGAAUCCCGUACGUGACUGGCUGCCUACGCCCAUGUGAAACUCUUUCGACGAGUCGAGUUGUUUGGGAAUGCAGCUCAAAAUGGGUGGUAUAUUUCAUCUAAAGCUAAAUAUUGGCCAGAGACCGAUAGCGCACAAGUAGAGUGAUCGAAAGAUGAAAAGCACUUUGGAAAGAGAGUUAAACAGUACGUGAAAUUGUUGAAAGGGAAGCGCUUGCAAUCAGACUUGCGCCUAGUUGAUCAUCCAAGCUUUUGGUUGGUGCACUCGACUAGGCUCAGGCCAGCAUCGGUUUGGGCGGUUGGAUAAAGACUUGGGGAACGUAGCCUCCUUCGGGUGGUGUUAUAGCCCCAGGUGCAAUGCAGCCUGCCUGGACCGAGGACCGCGCUUCGGCUAGGAUGCUGGCGUAAUGGUUGUAAGCGACCCGUCUUGAAACACGGACCAAGGAGUCGACCUAUUUAGCGAGUGUUUGGGUGUUAAACCCAUACGCGUAAUGAAAGUGAACGGAGGUGAGAACCCGUUAGGGCGCAUCAUCGACCGAUCCUGAUGUCUUCGGAUGGAUUUGAGUAAGAGCUAAGUGGGUCGGACCCGAAAGAUGGUGAUCUAUACGUGAAUAGGGUGAAGCCAGAGGAAACUCUGGUGGAGGCUCGCAGCGGUUCUGACGUGCAAAUCGAUCGUCAAAUUUGCGUAUAGGGGCGAAAGACUAAUCGAACCAUUAAACCUUACUAGGUGGUUGAGAGAGGAUCGUUUGAGAGAUCCUUUAGUUCCCACUCGGGGCAACAUCGUCAAAUUGUUCGGGGACCACCUGUGAAUUUGCAAGCUACCGCAGCCAGCUCGAAAGGGUUGGUGAGCACCUGAGAUAGCGACUUAGGGUAUGGUAAUAACGCUUGCAUGGGGUGUAUCCGCAGCGAAUCCCUAAGCCUUUUUAGGUAUGGGUGUCGUUCACAGACUAGACGGCGGUGGACGUGGUAUCGGAAGGUAUAGGCUUAAUAACCCUAUAUUCUUACAUGUCACGCUUAAGAUAUAGUCGAACCCCCCAGAG
rnacentral:rRNA from 1 species